rnacentral:SRP_RNA from 1 species
ACCAGAUUAAAAAAAAAUCAUUUAGCUACUUGGGAGGCUGAGGUAGGAGAAUUGCUUGAGCCCAUGAGUUCUGGGCUGUGGUGCGCCAUACUGACCAGGUGUCUGCACUAAGUUUAGUGUCAACAUGAUGACUUCCUAGGAGCGAAUGAUUAACCUGGUUGUGUAAGAAGGGGUGGUCUGGCUCAGGUCAGAGACAGAGUAGGUAAAAAUUCCCGUGCUUAUCAGUCGUGAGAUCACUCUUGUGAAUAGCCACUGCACUCCUACCUGGGCAGCAUAGGGAGACACUGUCUCU